rnacentral:rRNA from 1 species
GACGAACCGUGCGAACGUUGUUCGGAAUCACUGGGCUUAAAGGGCGCGUAGGCGGGCCACCAAGUCCGCGGUGAAAUCCUCCGGCUUAACCGGAGAAGUGCCGCGGAUACUGGGGGCCUCGAGGGAGGUAGGGGCGUGCGGAACACUGGGUGGAGCGGUGAAAUGCGUUGAUAUCCAGUGGAACUCCGGUGGCGAAGGCGGCACGCUGGACCUCAUCUGACGCUGAGGCGCGAAAGCCAGGGGAGCGAACGGG